AAAAAAAAAAAAAAAACUGAUUGAAUAUUUGGGAAUGUGAAAUUGAAAGAAAGAGACAAAGAGAGAUGGAACCUGAGAGAGAGGCCUGACGGAGAGAGUGAGAGACGACGGUGUGAUAGAGACGGCUGCUCAAGAGAAUGAGAGAUGGAAUGGAGGUAGGGUUUCUAUUUCUAAUGUAUAUGCGUGAAAUCUAAAAACAAAUAUAUUUUCUAUGUUUUGUAAAAAAAAAAAAUUUCUCUAAUAUUUUGUAUUUAUAUAAAUAAUAUUUUUUAUAAGAUAUAAAUAAUAAUAUUAUAUAAAAUAAUAAUUAUUAUAAACAGGCCGGCCUAUCAGGCUUCGUAGGCCUUUUUAGAAGCCUAAGCCUGGCCU
rnacentral:lncRNA from 1 species